rnacentral:ncRNA from 1 species
UCAUUUCUAUAUUUGAGGCAAUGAAAAACAGAACAAAUAAUACAUGGUGGUGGAGUAACUUACGAAAAACGUCGUGAGCAAAGCAUCAUUGUAGUAAAACUAUAUAAAAGGCUUGUC